CUCAUUUAUCUCUCUUUGUUAUCAAGUGUACUUAACACUAAGAUACAAGUCCUUGAUUCAUGCGUACCAUAUGACUGUUUCAAACAUCGUGAAGAUUAUAUUCAUGGUGUCCUAUCCACUACUUUUGUUUCCUUCUACUUAUCUUAACUUUUAUGUCCCUGCAGUUUUUAAUCCAACUUCUUUUUCAACGCCUUUAUGGUGAAAGUUUAAUACCAAUAUGAGGUAUAACAUACUAUUUUCUCUCUUAAACUCUUCGCUUCUCACCCUUAAACUCUUAAAUUUAGUGGAAAUGACACUUUUGAACAUGUGUUACUGUUUUUGCUCUGUAGUGAACAUUUUUGGAGUAGUAUGGAAACUAUAAGCAAUUGAAAGUAAGUCAAACUACUUAUAGUGAGGCAUCGGUGCCUUCAUAAUUAACUUUUUAGUAAUUUGAUUGUUAAUUUCAACUGUUUUUUUUUUUUUUCCUUUUCAUUUUAACGAUUAUUAAAGACAUCUUUUUAGGUACCAAAAUUUAAUUUAAUAUAGCAGCAGAUCAUAUGACAAGUAAGUUCAAUGAGUUGUUUGCUAAGUACAUAAAUAU
rnacentral:lncRNA from 1 species